CUACCGCUUUUGGAUGGGCCCGCGGCGCAUUAGCUAGUUGGUGGGGUAAAGGCUUACCAAGGCAAUGAUGCGUAGCCGAACUGAGAGGUUGAUCGGCCACAUUGGGACUGAGACACGGCCCAAACUCCUACGGGAGGCAGCAGUAGGGAAUCUUCCACAAUGGGCGAAAGCCUGAUGGAGCAACGCCGCGUGGGUGAAGAAGGUCUUCGGAUCGUAAAACCCUGUUGUUAGAGAAGAAAGUGCGUGAGAGUAACUGUUCACGUUUCGACGGUAUCUAACCAGAAAGCCACGGCUAACUACGUGCCAGCAGCCGCGGUAAUACGUAGGUGGCAAGCGUUAUCCGGAUUUAUUGGGCGUAAAGGGAACGCAGGCGGUCUUUUAAGUCUGAUGUGAAAGCCUUCGGCUUAACCGGAGUAGUGCAUUGGAAACUGGGAGACUUGAGUGCAGAAGAGGAGAGUGGAACUCCAUGUGUAGCGGUGAAAUGCGUAGAUAUAUGGAAGAACACCAGUGGCGAAAGCGGCUCUCUGGUCUGUAACUGACGCUGAGGUUCGAAAGCGUGGGUAGCAAACAGGAUUAGAUACCCUGGUAGUCCACGCCGUAAACGAUGAAUGCUAAGUGUUGGAGGGUUUCCGCC
rnacentral:rRNA from 1 species